rnacentral:ncRNA from 3 species
GGAGUGGAGCCUGCGGCUUA